AUUUUUAACACAGGCCACCAAAGCAAGGGCUGGUGAUGAAGCACGUUGGAGCUGCUGCAGAGGAUCCUGUAGCCUUGAGCGGGCACUGGAGGGUCCCGGAGGAGCAGGGCAGGGGCUGAGAUAUUUGUGGACCUUCCACAUAUUUCUUUCACCAAACCGAUUUUCAGCCAAGCACUGCAUAUGUGGUUCCUUCACUCCUUCCUGAAGAAUUUGGCAAAAAUUCCAGCAUUCAGGUUAGCGUUGGCUCUGCCCAGAUACAGCACUUACGCUCAGCUAUUAGGAUGUUGGUGGAAAGCGGAUGUGUAACUGUUUUAACAUGUCUGAAUUUGAAUCAGAUUUUGAAUCCGCACAAAUACAGUGUCUGCUCUUCAUCCAGACGUACUCUGAAACCAAGCCAUACCUGAGUCUUUCCUCUUGUGCUGCUCUGUCCAUCUCUUGGCUAUGAAAUACCCAGGACAGGUUUCAAGCACCCACUUCUGUGAGGAAAACGACUCGCCCAGCAGCAGCACUACCUCCGUGUACACCCAUGACUGUGCUACAGCUCGUGUUAAAGCUCAUCUCUCAUUUCACGCAGAGAUGUGUGGCCAAUUAACAGGCUCAGACCAUGUGCAGUAGCUUGUCCAGUCACAUCUUGCUCACGUGCCCGAGCCUAUUUCAGCAUUUCCCUUCCUGCAGAAGCACUGAUGUGGUUUCCUGGGCCCUCGGUGCCCCUGUCUGCGAGGCGAUUGCUGUGAUACAGAGAUUACACAGGAGAGCCGUGGAGAUUCCCUCUGUGUCAAGCAGAGCUUUGAUUUCCAAACACAGACGCACAGCGAGGGAAGAGCUUGCUCUUUGCUGUUGCACCUGGCCGAGGAUUCCCCCGCGCCGUCCAGACCCCGGGUCAGCUCCACGCGUGGCCACGGCGAGGCUCCUGCUGUCCCACGGGACAGUGUGGGGAACACGGGAGUUUGCUCCUUCUUGCAUAAUCCCCUCAUGUUUCCGUAGCUUUAACCAAUUCUGCAGCACAGAGGUGGUGUCAGAGAUAAUUCUACGGUACCCUUGCAGCCCAGAGGUCAGGAUGGCACCCUGGGAUUCUGGUAGGUAGAAAGAGCCAUAUUGAUGACUACGGACUAAAACACGGUGUCAGAAAAGAGUAUCCUCUGUCAUCAGCAGAUCAGUUGUCUGUUGCUUCCCUUGUGUGAAUUAGAAAAAAAAUAAUGGAGAAUUUCAAGAAAAUAUUCCAAGGUUUCCCACAGUCAGGUGUAUGCUUAUGUUUUUCUGCACCCAUCGUAAAUCACAGCAGUAGAUCUUCCCGCACUCACGCUUUGCAUUAGUAAAUUGAACUAUAUGCUCUGUCCCCUCAAAGAUUAAUGCCUCCAUCUGAGGGAGUAGCUGCAUACGUGCCGGUGGUAGCACUCUCAUCAUUAGCAAAUGGAAGACUGUGGGAGGAGAGCAGAAUUUGCAUGUGCUGGAUGUUGGCCUGAACAUAGUCACGCUGAAUUCUGGACAUCAGGGAAGAACUGAUAGAGCACAAGCGUUUAACCAGCAAACUACAGGGGAAAAAAAAGAGGAAUGCUACUUCUAAUUAAAAAGCUUUUCAGCCACCUUUGCUCCAAAAUGAACAAAUGUUUUGCUAAUACCACAUGUCUGCAGAGUGAACUCCAAAUAUCUCAAAACUGUACUUGCUGUCAAGUGGCAUUACAUUUGUUAGUCGUCCUUGGGUAAGUUUCUAAAUCUUUGCAGAAGUCUGCAAUCUUUUCACUAGCCUAUUUUUGGAUGGCACAUUUGAGAGACAUUUAACUGCUACAAAUGUUAACCCAUCAGCUCAAAGCAAGUGUCGUGACUCGUGUGUGCACGUGGCAUCUGGUACAGCUUGGGCAUGGCCCUUCAGAGACCUCCGAGCACCUUCACGACUCCUGUGCGACUUUGGAGCUGCCCAGUGACUCUUCAGGCUUGCUUAAAAACAAACCCGGUUUGCUUGGAAUACAAACAAAAUGCCAAAAGAGAGGAAGCUGUCUUGACUGCCCUCCUCGGUAUGUAGCACCAGGAUGGUGAUAGGAAAGGAAAGGCAGAAGCACCUGUGGCCACCAGAGAUUUCACCGCAGCUCUUGCAAAAGUGCCCUUGCUAACCAUGGUGCUCUGGCUGUUCUCCAGGGAAGGAUACAAGAUUUUGCCUGCCUAGAAAUCAUUUCAAAACAUUGUCUUCACUUCCUGCCUUCAACUUUUGCAACCGUUAUGUUCUGCAUUACAGUGGCUUUUAACAACUGGUAAAAUAAAUUCCUGUGCCUGA